AUUGAACGCUGGCGGCAGGCCUAACACAUGCAAGUCGAACGAGGGGCGGACGGGUGAGUAAUGUCUGGGAAACUGCCUGAUGGAGGGGGAUAACUACUGGAAACGGUAGCUAAAACCGCAUACCGACAGAUGUGCCCAGAUGGGAUUAGCUUGUUGGUGGGGUAACGGUGCACCACGGCGACGAUCCCUAGCUGGUCUGAGAGGAUGACCAGCCAAACUGGAACAGAGACACGGUCCAACGUCCUACGGGAGUCAGCAGUGGGGAAUAGGGCACAAUGGGAGCAUGCCUGAUGCAGCCAUGCCGCGUGUCUGAAGAAGGCCUUCGGGUUGUAAAGUACUUUCAGCGGGUAGGCGUUACCCGCAGAAGAAGCACCGGCUAACUCCGUGCCAGCAGCCGCGGUAAUAC
rnacentral:rRNA from 1 species